rnacentral:lncRNA from 1 species
GACAUGUGAGAUUUUCUCAACACUGACUUGGUGAAUAGCUGGCUAGAACAAAGGAGUAUUAUCCUUUAUACACAAUACAGUAUUUCAUCACUCUCUACAUCGGCACCUGAAGAGAUUCACCACUUGUCUUCACCAUGUCUGCAUUACAGAGGGAAUAGGUUGCCAUUGGAGACGCUAGGGAAUAGGUUGCCAUUGGAGACGCUAGGGAAUAGGUUGCCAUUGGAGACGCUAGGGAAUAGGUUACCAUUAGUGACGCACGACGUUACUUCUUUCAAAACAUUUACACCGUACCCACUAUAGUGUUGUGAACAUGUACAAUACUUUUUUUUUUUACACCAAGAUUUUUCCUACAUAGUGUUUGCUGUUGUACAGUAUUUAUCUGUGUUGGCGGUGCGAGGUGGGCCGUGUCCUUUGUCUUGUCAAGAUAAAGCAAACAACGACUCAAUCAAAGUAGUGUUGCACCAUAACCAACACGCUCUUUAAUCUCAGAAAACAACAGCAUUUACUUUAUCUGGACAGCUUCCCAAAUGGCACCUUAUUCCCAUAGGGCUCUGGUCUAAAGUAGUGCACUAUAUAUAGGGAAUAGGGUGCCAUAGGGCUCUGGUCUAAAGUAGUGCACUAUAUAGGGAAUAGGGUGCCAUAGGGCUCUGGUCUAAAGUAGUGCACUAUAAAUGGAAUAGGGUGCCAUAGGGCUCUGGUCUAAAGUAGUGCACUAUAUAGGGAAUAGGGUGCCAUAGGGCUCUGGUCUAAAGUAGUGCACUAUAUAGGGAAUAGGGUGCCAUAGGGCUCUGGUCUAAAGUAGUGCACUGUAUAGGGAAUGGGGUGCCAUUUGGGAUGCAUCCUGAACCUGAGAGUAUUCCAUGAUAUAACUCACUGUACCUGGGUCCAGUCGAAUGUUUGGAGGUCUUUGUCUAUCGUUGUGGUAAUCAAGGAUAUCUGCCAAUGGAUUUGUUCUGGGAUUGAGGCAUACUGCAUUUAUCAGUCCUCAUUGUUGACCAAUCACCAGUAGGCCUAGCAGUUAGUUAUGUACCAUUUUGACCCUAUAGGAUUAGGACAGUCCUUUAUUCACCAGACAGAGCUCUGAUGAGGCGGCAGGUAGCCAAGUGGUAUUGGAAUUGGGCAAGUAACCGAAAGGUUACUUGAUCGACAUCCCCGAGCUGACAAGGUAAAAAAAAAGUCAUUCUCCCCCUGAACAAGGCAGUUAACCCACUGUUCUCUGGUAGGCUGUCAUUGUAAAUAAGAAUUUGACUUGCCUAGUUAUAUAAAGGGAAAAACAAAUAUCCAUAUUAUGCCCACAGUCAUAAAGCCUCAGAGUUGGAGUGUUGAUCUAGGAUCAGUUUAGUCUUUUAGAUCAUAAUGAGUAAGACUACAUGGACAGGGAAGACCUGAUCCUAGAUCAGAAUGAAUAGCAUUACAUGGACAGGGAAGACCUGAUCCUAGAUCAGAAUGAAUAGCAUUACAUGGACAGGGAAGACCUGAUCCUAGAUCAGAAUGAAUAGCAUUACAUGGACAGGGAAGACCUGAUCCUAGAUCAGAAUGAAUAACAUUACAGGGACAGGGAAGACCUGACGCUAGAUCAUAAUGAGUAAGACUACAUGGACAGGGAAGACCUGAUCCUAGAUCAGAAUGAAUAACAUUACAUGGACAGGGAAGACCUGAUCCUACAUCAGCCCCGCUACCCUAAGAGGCGUUCUGAAUAUGGGCCCGGAUAUAAACUACACAGCUGUGGGCUUGGUUCUAUCGCACACCUCAAAUAUAAAUAACCAAAUGCACAUUCUUUUUUUUAUAUAUAAAAGGCACAUUUCUCACAUGUUUAUCAAUCCAAGCUAUGCAAUGCGAUGUAAUCUAGGAAGAAACACCGAAUUCACACCCUUAGGGGGUCUUACGUGAGUGAUGCUGAUGCUAUAUAAUGUUACCUCCGAGUGUACGGACGACUUCAGCACCAAGGUUUAAACUUGAUUUUCAAUGUAUAUAUUUCAUGAAUGAGUAUUUAUGGUUGUAUUUAUGAAUAACAAUGUGUCGGGGAGUGGUGUGUGCGAUUUCAACACUUUACUUUUUUGUAACAACGUUUGAAUCCCCCCCCAAAAAAUAAAUAUGUUCUGCAAAAUGA